CCUGGCGACCUUAGCGCGGUGGUCCCACCUGACCCCAUGCCGAACUCAGAAGUGAAACGCCGUAGCGCCGAUGGUAGUGU
rnacentral:rRNA from 1 species